rnacentral:rRNA from 1 species
GAUGAACGCUGGCGGCGUGCCUAAUACAUGCAAGUCGAGCGAACAGACGAGGAGCUUGCUCCUCUGACGUUAGCGGCGUACGGGUGAGUAACACGUGGAUAACCUACCUAUAAGACUGGGAUAACUUCGGGAAACCGGAGCUAAUACCGGAUAACAUGUUGAACCGCAUGGUUCAACAGUGAAAGACGGUCUUGCUGUCACUUAUAGAUGGAUCCGCGCCGCAUUAGCUAGUUGGUAAGGUAACGGCUUACCAAGGCAACGAUGCGUAGCCGACCUGAGAGGGUGAUCGGCCACACUGGAACUGAGACACGGUCCAGACUCCUACGGGAGGCAGCAGUAGGGAAUCUUCCGCAAUGGGCGAAAGCCUGACGGAGCAACGCCGCGUGAGUGAAGAAGGUCUUCGGAUCGUAAAACUCUGUUAUUAGGGAAGAACAAAUGUGUAAGUAACUAUGCACGUCUUGACGGUACCUAAUCAGAAAGCCACGGCUAACUACGUG